rnacentral:rRNA from 1 species
GGGUUGUGAGGUUAAGCGACUAAGCGUACACGGUGGAUGCCCUGGCAGUCAGAGGCGAUGAAGGACGUGCUAAUCUGCGAAAAGCGUCGGUAAGGUGAUAUGAACCGUUAUAGCCGGCGAUGUCCGAAUGGGGAAACCCAGUGCAAUUCGUUGCACUAUCGUUAACUGAAUACAUAGGUUAACGAGGCGAACCGGGGGAACUGAAACAUCUAAGUACCCCGAGGAAAAGAAAUCAACCGAGAUUCCCCCAGUAGCGGCGAGCGAACGGGGAGCAGCCCGGAGUCUGAAUCAGCUUGUGUGUUAGUGGAAGCGUCUGGAAAGUCGCAGGGUACAGGGUGAUACUCCCGUACACUAAAGCACACAGGUUGUGAACUCGAAGAGUAGGGCGGGACACGUGGUAUCCUGUCUGAAUAUGGGGGGACCAUCCUCCAAGGCUAAAUACUCCUGACUGACCGAUAGUGAACCAGUACCGUGAGGGAAAGGCGAAAAGAACCCCGGCGAGGGGAGUGAAAAAGAACCUGAAACCGUGUACGUACAAGCAGUAGGAGCCUCUUUAUGGGGUGACUGCGUACCUUUUGUAUAAUGGGUCAGCGACUUAUAUUCUGUAGCAAGGUUAACCGUAUAGGGGAGCCGCAGGGAAACCGAGUCUUAACUGGGCGUUAAGUUGCAGGGUAUAGACCCGAAACCCGGUGAUCUAGCCAUGGGCAGGUUGAAGGUUGGGUAACACUAACUGGAGGACCGAACCGACUAAUGUUGAAAAAUUAGCGGAUGACUUGUGGCUGGGGGUGAAAGGCCAAUCAAACCGGGAGAUAGCUGGUUCUCCCCGAAAGCUAUUUAGGUAGCGCCUCGUGAAUUCAUCUUCGGGGGUAGAGCACUGUUUCGGCUAGGGGGUCAUCCCGACUUACCAACCCGAUGCAAACUACGAAUACCGAAGAAUGUUAUCACGGGAGACACACGGCGGGUGCUAACGUCCGUCGUGAAGAGGGAAACAACCCAGACCGCCAGCUAAGGUCCCAAAGUCAUGGUUAAGUGGGAAACGAUGUGGGAAGGCCCAGACAGCCAGGAUGUUGGCUUAGAAGCAGCCAUCAUUUAAAGAAAGCGUAAUAGCUCACUGGUCGAGUCGGCCUGCGCGGAAGAUGUAACGGGGCUAAACCAUGCACCGAAGCUGCGGCAGCGACACUAUGUGUUGUUGGGUAGGGGAGCGUUCUGUAAGCCGUCGAAGGUGGCCUGUGAGGGUUGCUGGAGGUAUCAGAAGUGCGAAUGCUGACAUAAGUAACGAUAAUGCGGGUGAAAAACCCGCACGCCGGAAGACCAAGGGUUCCUGUCCAACGUUAAUCGGGGCAGGGUGAGUCGACCCCUAAGGCGAGGCCGAAAGGCGUAGUCGAUGGGAAACAGGUUAAUAUUCCUGUACUCGGUGUUACUGCGAAGGGGGGACGGAGAAGGCUAUGUUGGCCGGGCGACGGUUGUCCCGGUUUAAGCAUGUAGGCGGAUGUUCCAGGUAAAUCCGGAACGUUACUAACGCUGAGGUGUGAUGACGAGGCACUACGGUGCUGAAGUGACAAAUGCCCUGCUUCCAGGAAAAGCCUCUAAGCAUCAGGUAACAUCAAAUCGUACCCCAAACCGACACAGGUGGUCAGGUAGAGAAUACCAAGGCGCUUGAGAGAACUCGGGUGAAGGAACUAGGCAAAAUGGUGCCGUAACUUCGGGAGAAGGCACGCUGAUAGGUAGGUGAAGUGGUUUACCCAUGGAGCUGAAAUCAGUCGAAGAUACCAGCUGGCUGCAACUGUUUAUUAAAAACACAGCACUGUGCAAACACGAAAGUGGACGUAUACGGUGUGACGCCUGCCCGGUGCCGGAAGGUUAAUUGAUGGGGUUAUCCGUAAGGAGAAGCUCUUGAUCGAAGCCCCGGUAAACGGCGGCCGUAACUAUAACGGUCCUAAGGUAGCGAAAUUCCUUGUCGGGUAAGUUCCGACCUGCACGAAUGGCGUAAUGAUGGCCAGGCUGUCUCCACCCGAGACUCAGUGAAAUUGAACUCGCUGUGAAGAUGCAGUGUACCCGCGGCAAGACGGAAAGACCCCGUGAACCUUUACUAUAGCUUGACACUGAACACUGGUCCUUGAUGUGUAGGAUAGGUGGGAGGCUUUGAAGUGUGGACGCCAGUCUGCAUGGAGCCAUCCUUGAAAUACCACCCUUUAAUGGCUGGUGUUCUAACGUGGGCCCGUUAUCCGGGUUGCGGACAGUGUCUGGUGGGUAGUUUGACUGGGGCGGUCUCCUCCUAAAGAGUAACGGAGGAGCACGAAGGUCAGCUAAUCCUGGUCGGACAUCAGGAGGUUAGUGCAAUGGCAUAAGCUGGCUUGACUGCGAGCGUGACGGCGCGAGCAGGUGCGAAAGCAGGUCAUAGUGAUCCGGUGGUUCUGAAUGGAAGGGCCAUCGCUCAACGGAUAAAAGGUACUCCGGGGAUAACAGGCUGAUACCGCCCAAGAGUUCAUAUCGACGGCGGUGUUUGGCACCUCGAUGUCGGCUCAUCACAUCCUGGGGCUGAAGUAGGUCCCAAGGGUAUGGCUGUUCGCCAUUUAAAGUGGUACGCGAGCUGGGUUUAGAACGUCGUGAGACAGUUCGGUCCCUAUCUGCCGUGGGCGCUGGAGAAUUGAGGGGGGCUGCUCCUAGUACGAGAGGACCGGAGUGGACGCAUCACUGGUGUUCGGGUUGUCAUGCCAAUGGCAUUGCCCGGUAGCUAAAUGCGGAAGAGAUAAGUGCUGAAAGCAUCUAAGCACGAAACUUGCCCCGAGAUGAGUUCUCCCUGACUCCUUGAGAGUCCUGAAGGAACGUUGAAGACGACGACGUUGAUAGGCCGGGUGUGUAAGCGCAGCGAUGCGUUGAGCUAACCGGUACUAAUGAACCGUGAGGCUUAACCUUACAACGCCGAAG